GUGCGGCCGGGGAUGUAGCUCCGUGGUUCCGCCGCCUGCCUCGCAAGCGCAAGGUCUCGAGUUCGAUCCCCGGUACCAAAAAAAAAAUAAGUGCAGGAUGACAGGUCAGCAAUUAGAGACACCUUUUCGGGUGUUGCUAUUUGGAGAAGUUUUCUAAGGGAUUUUAUUUCCCUGCUUCCUCUGGAGAGGAAGCCUAGUGAAGAGGGAUUUUAGAUAAACUAACAGGAGCCUGAGAGCCAGAGCCUAGCAAGACCACCCACACCAUGGGUCCAGUCAAAAGCCUGAGCCCUGGCACAGGUGCGCGUCCAAGCUGCGGUGGGUGGGGGUCUUCAUUACUCCACUUCCCCCACCCUGAGAACCGGUGCCCUGCUAUUUGACGAGGAGCCUCGGAUCUUCCAGAGGGCCACAGGAGUAACUUCCUUCGUUUGCGUGGUCCUUUGCCUCAGACAGUUCGGGUGGGGCUGGCUUUAUCCUGAAAGGACUCUGCUUUUCAUCAUGGCUACAGCAAGUGGUGAGACAAACUGGACGUCUCCGCCGUGUGAGAGGUCAGAGCAAGGGUCAAAGUCAGAAACCCAUCUGCAAACCUCCGGGGUCUCCUGAAGUCGGCCUGAGUGCCUUGCCUUGUUUGUGUCUGUACUGGAAAAGGGCCCUGGAGCCGGAACCCCUCCUUGGGACUCUCCAAGAGGCCGAGCACUGUGAGUUGAAGGAGUGGGAAACUCCACCCCGCCUGUGUCCUUCCUGGAUCAGAGCUGACUGGGGGGCUGAAGCUGAGGUUUCUGAGGCACUUGGGGAGGGUGGCCUGGUUUCCUAGGCUAAGGAGACUCCCGGUGUGGCUGCUUCUGUAAACACAUGGGGGCUGAGAAGGGGCCUCAGUGACUUCAGUCUCCUCUCUGGGCUUCUUCAAGUGCCACACCUGGGCCUUCGCAGAAAGCAGUUGCUGAUAAAGAGCCAUGAGAGCCUGAGCACAAGGAAUUUCACGCCAGUGUCCCUGCCUUUUGCAGAAUAGAUCUAGCUGAAGAACAGUGCUGUGAUUUAGAUGAAUUCUGUACCCAUCUGUCACCAUUUCUGAGUUCAUACCGCACCAAACAGUUCUGCAAUAGGAGAUGAGCGUUUUUUUCUCUCAGAUAGUCAGGGUCCAUUUAUUUCCACUUUGAAGGGUGGAGCCUCAUGAUGAGGUUGCUGGGAUCGCAGGGUGUUUCCUGUGGGGCUUCUGGGGCCUCUGGGCUGGCUCACCAAGAAAUGCUACCACAUGUGGGUCCCAGGGAAAUUCCUUCCAGGUUCUUGGUGUCUUGGACAAGACACAGGGAAAACGUAGUGGAGAUGUACAUUUAUUGAAGGUGGGAAAGAAGUUCACUCUGCAGAGUGAAACCGAGCUAGUGAACAGACUCACAGUGGCCAAAAAAGUAAAAUUCCGAGACAGUCUCACUAAAUUCCCCAGCUGACCUCAAACUUGCAAUCCUCCUGCUUCAGCCUUCCCAGUAGCUAGGAUUACGGUAUGUGUCAC
rnacentral:lncRNA from 1 species